UUUUUUACGCAUAUGUAAUCACCUCACCACAUUUUACUGUUCCUGUUGAAUUAGCAACAGGUAUAGAAAAACGUGUUAUAGGACUUUUCAAUUCCUAUUAGGUGUAUUUUUCAACUGUAUAUGCUGCAUGGCGGCAAAUAAAAAAAACCGCCGUUGGCAGCAAGGCUUUUUAUGCGCCUUUUUAAACGACGGUUUUACAGCCGCCGUUUUCUUUUUU
rnacentral:ncRNA from 1 species